rnacentral:rRNA from 1 species
GUAUGGGGCAAGCGUUAUCCGGAUUCAUUGGGCGUAAAGAGCGCGUAGGCGGUUUGUUAAGCGAGAUGUGAAAACCGGGGGCUCAACCCGCGGCCUGCAUCUCGAACUGGCAGACUUGAGUCUGGUAGAGGAAAGUGAAUUCCUAGUGUAGCGGUGAAAUGCGCAGAUAUUAGGAGGAACACCAGUGGCGAAGGCGGCUUUCUGGGCCACGACUGACGCUGAGGCGCGAAAGCUAGGGGAGCAAACAGGAUUAGAUACCCUGGUAGUCCUAGCAGUAAACGAUGGGCACUAGGUGUGGGGGGUCAUCAACUCCCUCCGUGCCGCAGCUAACGCAUUAAGUGCCCCGCCUGGGGAGUACGACCGCAAGGUUA